GACAGAGGUGCCGAGCGUUAGGCGGAAUCACUGGGCUUAAAGCGUGUGUAGGCGGAUCUGUAAGUACCUUGUGAAAUCCCACGGCUCAACCGUGGAACUGCUUGGUAUACUGCGGGUCUUGAGCCACCUAGGGGCAAGUGGAACAAACGGUGGAGCGGUGAAAUGCGUAGAUAUCGGAAGGAACACCUGUGGCGAAAGCGGCUCACUGGACCAAUUACUGACGCUGAGGCAACGAAAGCGUAGGGGAGCAAACAGG
rnacentral:rRNA from 1 species